GUGGGGAAUAUUGGACAAUGGGCGAAAGCCUGAUCCAGCCAUGCCGCGUGUGUGAAGAAGGUCUUCGGAUUGUAAAGCACUUUAAGUUGGGAGGAAGGGCAGUAAGUUAAUACCUUGCUGUUUUGACGUUACCGACAGAAUAAGCACCGGCUAACUUCGUGCCAGCAGCCGCGGUAAUACGAAGGGUGCAAGCGUUAAUCGGAAUUACUGGGCGUAAAGCGCGCGUAGGUGGUUUUGUAAGUUGGAGGUGAAAUCCCCGGGCUCAACCUGGGAACUGCCUCCAAAACUGCAGGACGAGAGUACGGUAGAGGGUAGUGGAAUUUCCUGUGUAGCGGUGAAAUGCGUAGAUAUAGGAAGGAACACCAGUGGCGAAGGCGACUACCUGGACUGAUACUGACACUGAGGUGCGAAAGCGUGGGGAGCAAACAGGAUUAGAUACCCGAGUAGUCC
rnacentral:rRNA from 1 species